rnacentral:rRNA from 1 species
GAUGAACGCUGGCGGCGUGCCUAAUACAUGCAAGUCGAGCGAACAGACGAGGAGCUUGCUCCUCUGACGUUAGCGGCGGACGGGUGAGUAACACGUGGAUAACCUACCUAUAAGACUGGGAUAACUUCGGGAAACCGGAGCUAAUACCGGAUAAUAUAUUGAACCGCAUGGUUCAAUAGUGAAAGACGGUUUUGCUGUCACUUAUAGAUGGAUCCGCGCCGCAUUAGCUAGUUGGUAAGGUAACGGCUUACCAAGGCGACGAUGCGUAGCCGACCUGAGAGGGUGGUCGGCCACCCUGGAACUGAGACACGGUCCAGACUCCUACGGGAGGCAGCAGUAGGGAAUCUUCCGCAAUGGGCGAAAGCCUGACGGAGCAACGCCGCGUGAGUGAUGAAGGUCUUCGGAUCGUAAAACUCUGUUAUUAGGGAAGAACAAAUGUGUAAGUAACUAUGCACGUCUUGACGGUACCUAAUCAGAAAGCCACGGCUAACUACGUG